UUUAUAAAGGGUCAAAGAACGACGUUUUGAAGACAACCAACGAACACAACUAUUUCAAGACGUUAUACAGAAAACAAGAUACAAUGUUGAUAAGCUAGUAACGGCAUUUUCACAAAAUUAAAUGCUGCAAGAAGGCUUGGAGAUUUGCCCAACAAAGUAAACAACUAAUUCUGGUGUAUCCACAUCUCAUCCUUUGACAUUACACCCUAAUGACUUUUGUCUUCUCAACCUGGCUUAUCUCUGAACUCAAACUUUCUGUAAGAUGAACUACAGCAGGAAAGAAAAGAUGAAGCUCAAGAUUCAAGAAUAUGAAUUAUUUUUACUUCUUAGCUUGUCUUUGAACUCAAAGACGUCCCGUAACCUGAGCCGGAAGGUAGAGAAGGUGAAGAUAGAACAUGAACGAAUUUUCUUUGUAAGGUAUAUGUACUUAAACUGGGCAGGAUUCGUGGUGUCAGUAUAA